AUGAUCGCCCUCUCGCAUUGUUGUCUGCGAUAUGUGCCACGGCGACCGCCGGCGUUCGGCAAAGUCGUUGGAGGUGGUACUCGGCUACGGCGCACAAGCGCGCCGGCACCACGGCAACGCAAUCAAGAGACAGCUGCAGAUGCGGAGACGGUGGCGGAGGCCGAGGUUGUCGCCGCCUUCACCUCGACAUUGGAGGACGCCAAGCUUGCAGCCGCAGACAUCCCCCACAGAGCUCAGACGUCGCCGCCGCACCUGCAGCCUCACCGGGCGGCUGCCUAUAAAUCACUGCCGCCCCAUCUGCGGUUCCGUGCGCUUUCCAAGCCGGUGGUCCUCGAGGACGUGCAGGACACCUAUGCCAUCACGCCAACGCAGGAAGUGCACGGCCAGCAGCUGUGGACAGCCACAAAGGUGCUGCGCUCCAGCAAGCAUAUUCGCAAGGCGAAUGCCACAUGCGUCGUGGGAGGUGCCAGUGCGAUCCGACGCAUCUGGCGCACGUACAAUAUCCGACCGAAUGUCGUGUAUGUGCCGAACACUGAUUCCGGAGUACCGACGUGGUGCCUCGAGGAGGAGCUGCCGACGGUGAUUGUGCGUUGCUCGCCUGUGGCGGUAAGGCGGCACCUGUUGAGCGCCGAGUACAGCGACGGCUACGCUGCCGAGUUCCCGCUGCCAGUGAACUGCGUCACAGAUGCCACAGCACUGCUGGCUCCACCACCGGAGCCGGCUCAAAGUGAGACCGCGGUGCCAAGCACGGGCGACACGUCAUCAUCGCUGUCAGCGAAGCUCUCGGCGACAGGACCGCCGGUAGCUCGCCCUCUGCACGACCCCUUCGGCCACCACGCUGUGGGAGCCAUGCUUGUGUUGGUGGGGCUGCGCAUCCCCAGCAACGUGGGGACUUUGCUGCGUGCCGCUGCAGAUAUGGGCUACGACGCUGCCGUACUCGUCAGCUGCGCCGACCCGACGCAGGAGAAGGUGUUGCGCGCGAGCGAUGGCACCGCGCUGAGCCCGACCCUGCGCAUCUACGAGACGGAGACGACGGAGCAGGCGUGCGUGUCGCUACUCUCCAGCAUCGCGGCGCAGCAUCACCUCAUGCCGUUUCUGGCGGUGCCGUCGCAGGAGGUCGAGUCUGCUUUUGAGGUAGCGAAGCGUUUCCAUGUCUAUAACGCCAAAAGCAAGGAAGCGGCCACGUCGCAGGUCAGUGGAGGUGCGGCGGCAGGUCACAGUGACGGCCUCUGCGCCGCUCCGACGAAGCAGCUCGGCGCAAUGGUCAUCCUCGGAUCGGAGGCGCAGGGGCUGCGCGGCCUGAACGGCAGGUGGGGUGUGCCCUACCAGUUGGUGACGCUGCCACUGUCUAACCCGAUGGUAGACUCGUUAAACGUGAGUGUGGCAGGGUCGGUGCUGAUGCAUCUGUUCCGCCCCAGCGCAGCGUCGCAUUUCACGCGGCUCGUGGCGCUCUCAGGAGCAGUCGGCGACUUGUUACCGCCACCUGUAACAGAUGACGAUGACAAUGAGAGUGAUCACCACGCGGAAACCGACGAGGCGGAGGCAAGUCCCCUCUAG
rnacentral:rRNA from 1 species